rnacentral:lncRNA from 1 species
CAGCCCCCGAAGGUCGGGGUGCCAACACCCCCCAGCGGAAAAAUGGCCAAAAAACGGGUGGGCUAUAGCCUUGGUGGGGGGCGUGGGCGAAGUUCGUCCGCCGAACUCGGAAUGGCCCCAGACUUUGCGGGCGGCCUCCGUGUGCCAAAAAUAGGCCACGGGCAGAGCCGCGCCCAAAAAUCAGCCCCCGAAGGUCGGGGUGCCAAGACCCCCCAUCGGAAAAAUGGCCAAAAAACGGGUGGGCUAUAGCCUUGGUGGGGGGCGUGGGCGAAGUUCGUCCGCCGGACUCGGAAUGGCCCCAGACUUUGCGGGCGGCUUCCGUGUGCCAAAAAUAGGCCACGGGCAGAGCCGCGCCCAAAAAUCAGCCCCCGAAGGUCGGGGUGCCAACACCCCCCAGCGGAAAAAUGGCCAAAAAACGGGUGGGCUAUAGCCUUGGUGGGGGGCGUGGGCGAAGUUCGUCCGCCGGACUCGGAAUGGCCCCAGACUUUGCGGGCGGCUUCCGUGUGCCAAAAAUAGGCCACGGGCAGAGCCGCGCCCAAAAAUCAGCCCCCGAAGGUCGGGGUGCCAACACCCCCCAGCGGAAAAAUGGCCAAAAAACGGGUGGGCUAUAGCCUUGGUGGGGGGCGUGGGCGAAGUUCGUCCGCCGGGCUCGGAAUGGCCCCAGACUUUGCGGGCGGCCUCCGUGUGCCAAAAAUAGGCCACGGGCACAGCCGCGCCCAAAACUCAGCCCCCGAAGGUCGGGGCGCCAAGACCCCCCCGCGGAAAAAUGGCCAAAAAACGGGUGGGCUAUAGCCUUGGUGGGGGGCGUGGGCGAAGUUCGUCCGCCGGACUCGGAAUGGCCCCAGACGUUGCGGGCGGGCUCCGUGUGCCAAAAAAAGGCACGGGCAAGGCCGCGCCCAAAAAUCAGCCCCCGAAGGUCGGGGUGCCAACACCCCCCAGCGGAAAAAUGGACAAAAAACGGGUGGGCUAUAGCCUUGGUGGGGGGCGUGGGCGAAGUUCAUCCGCCGGACUCGGAAUGGCACCAGACUUUGCGGGCGGCCUCCGUGUGCCAAAAAUAGGCCACGGGCACAGCCGCGCCCAAAAAUCAGUUCCAGAAGGUCGGGCCGCCAAGACCCCCCAGCGGAAAAAUAGCCAAAAAACGGGUGGGCUAUAGCCUUGGUCGGGGGCGUGGGCGAAGUUCGUCCGCCGGACUCGGAAUGGACCCAGACUUUGCGGGCGGCCUCCCAGUGCCAAAAAUAGGCCACGGGCACAGCCGCGCCCUAAAAUCAAUCCCGUAAGGUCGGGGUGCCAAGAUCCCCCAGCGGAAAAAUG